rnacentral:rRNA from 1 species
UGGGGAAUCUUGGACAAUGGGGGCAACCCUGAUCCAGCCAUGCCGCGUGAGUGAUGAAGGCCUUAGGGUCGUAAAGCUCUUUCGCCUGUGAAGAUAAUGACGGUAGCAGGUAAAGAAACCCCGGCUAACUCCGUGCCAGCAGCCGCGGUAAUACGGAGGGGGUUAGCGUUGUUCGGAAUUACUGGGCGUAAAGCGCACGUAGGCGGACCAGAAAGUUGGGGGUGAAAUCCCGGGGGCUCAACCCCGGAACUGCCUCCAAAACUAUUGGUCUAGAGUUCGAGAGAGGUGAGUGGAAUUCCAAGUGUAGAGGUGAAAUUCGUAGAUAUUUGGAGGAACACCAGUGGCGAAGGCGGCUCACUGGCUCGAUACUGACGCUGAGGUGCGAAAGUGUGGGGAGCAAACAGGAUUAGAUACCCUGGUAGUCCACACCGUAAACGAUGAAUGCCAGUCGUCGGGUAGCAUGCUAUUCGGUGACACACCUAACGGAUUAAGC